UACGGAGGGGGCUAGCGUUGUUCGGAAUUACUGGGCGUAAAGCGCACGUAGGCGGCUUUGCAAGUCAGAGGUGAAAGCCCGGGGCUCAACCCCGGAAUUGCCUUUGAGACUGCAUCGCUAGAAUUGUGGAGAGGUAAGUGGAAUUCCUAGUGUAGAGGUGAAAUUCGUAGAUAUUCGGAAGAACACCAGUGGCGAAGGCGACUUACUGGACACAUAUUGACGCUGAGGUGCGAAAGCGUGGGGAGCAAACAGG
rnacentral:rRNA from 1 species